UCGGGAAUUUUGGGCAAUGGGCGAAAGCCUGACCCAGCAACGCCGCGUGAAGGAUGAAGUAUUUCGGUAUGUAAACUUCGAAAGAAUAGGAAGAAUAAAUGACGGUACUAUUUAUAAGGUCCGGCUAACUACGUGCCAGCAGCCGCGGUAAUACGUAGGGACCAAGCGUUGUUCGGAUUUACUGGGCGUAAAGGGCGCGUAGGCGGCAAUUCAAGUCAUCUGUGAAAUCUCCGGGCUUAACUCGGAACGGUCAGAUGAUACUGCUUUGCUAGAGUGCAGAAGGGGCAAUCGGAAUUCUUGGUGUAGCGGUGAAAUGCGUAGAUAUCAAGAGGAACACCUGAGGUGAAGACGGGUUGCUGGGCUGACACUGACGCUGAGGCGCGAAAGUGUGGGGUAUCAAACAGGAUUAGAUACCCCCGUAGUCCCUGAGCGGGCUGGCAAGGCGCAU
rnacentral:rRNA from 1 species